GAAGCUGACCAGACAGUCGCCGCUUCGUCGUCGUCCUUUCGGGGAGACGGGCGGAGGGGAGGAAAGUCCGGGCUCCAUAGGGCAGGGUGCCAGGUAACGCCUGGGGGGGGAAACCCACGACCAGUGCAACAGAGAGCAAACCGCCGAUGGCCCACGUAAGUGGGAUCAGGUAAGGGUGAAAGGGUGCGGUAAGAGCGCACCGCGCGGCUGGUAACAGUCCGUGGCACGGUAAACUCCACCCGGAGCAAGGCCAAAUAGGGGUUCAUAAGGUACGGCCCGUACUGAACCCGGGUAGGCUGCUUGAGCCAGUGAGCGAUUGAAUAGGGGUUCAUAAGGUACGGCCCGUACUGAACCCGGGUAGGCUGCUUGAGCCAGUGAGCGAUUGCUGGCCUAGAUGAAUGACUGUCCACGACAGAACCCGGCUUAUCGGUCAGUUUCACUU
rnacentral:RNase_P_RNA from 1 species